rnacentral:lncRNA from 1 species
AGAUAUCGUGAUAUCUUUACUGGGCUAGUGUAGCUCAUUCCUUAUUUAAUCAUUUCAGAUCAGGAAGACAUUGUUCCCGAGCCGGUUCCGCAGGAGGACGACGAAGGGGACGCCUAAAGACUCCAUAGUCAUAUUCGUAGCUUUUACUUUCAAGUUUCUCCUUUAGGUAGUUUAAUCUUUUAUAUUGUGAGCAUGUUUUUGGUUUUAGUGUAAGGGAUGUUAAUCGAAUUUUUGACUUCGCUUCCGCAUCUGAUAUUUUUAAUAUACAUUUCAUUUUGAAUUUCCGGGGCUGCUACAAAAAGGAUUGUGAGUAGUUCAUCACCCGGACUCCAUUCAAGUACUAGUAAAAGUUGUCCUAGGAUGCUUAUUUAUUCGUUGUUCUUUUUAUUUCUUUAAUUCUCAUUUGUCUUUUAGAAGAGAUAUUUUUGUAACUCUAUUGGACAUUCUAAAUUAUUGUGUAAGGAAUGUAACGCCCGGGAAUUUGAAGAAAAAAAAAAGAGGGGUCACGUCAGCAGCCACGUCAGCAGACCCAGUCAGCAGUCCUGGCCAACCAGGACCUGCCACGUGACAAAACCACGUCGACCGGGGACGGGCCACGUUGGCGAUCCACGUACGCGCGAUCGGACGACCCAGAUCAAGCGUGCGUACGGACGGCCCAGAUGCAAUCGCACAGACGGCCCAGAUUUAAUCAAAAACGGACAGCCCAGAUUAAAACAAAAUGGACGGCUGAGAUCAAAAGGCAAAAGCGUAUAAAUAGAACCCCCACACCUGACCACAAAAACCCUAGCCGCCUGCCCUCGUCGAAGAAGACGAACCAGACGCCGGCCGCCGCCACCCGCCGCCGCACCAGGGAGAUUUUCGACCGCUGAUCGAGGUAAAUUUCAUACCCCCGACUCGUUUUUCCAUGCUGAUUUCCCAUGUGGCCAAAUCGGAGCCAAAAUCCUGGCCAAACGACCGGAAAACACGACCGAAACCCAGCGGUGCCGCCGCGCCCCAUCUCGGUUUUUGCCUCCGAUGAGGCCCUUCCCGGCCUCCGUUUGAUGCAAUUUUAAUAUCACCGUGAUCACCAUUCUUUUCUCUACAGGUUGAUCAGAGCCGAAUCACCAAAACACGAACUUCAUCGGAGAGCCGCCGCACCUGAGAGCACCGCCGCCGGUAAGCUUCGGUUUUCCGUAAUUUUUUGGCCCCCCGAGGGCCCUAGGGUUGUUUUAUCGCAAGGAUCGAUGCAAGUGUGGUCGAAUUCGGCUGGAAACGGCUGAAAUUGCUUAAGGUCGCUAAUGGAGUCUGAGUCUAGUGUGUUUGUCGGUUAACUGUUAUUUGGCCUAUUUUACAGUUUUAAAUGCAGUAUGAGGUUUGAUGCUUUCAUUUUAUAGUUUUGUGUGCAUAUUUUACUGUUUUAUUGAUUAUGAAUUGAAUGACUGGGAUAUUGAUGCUGUAUGUUGUCUGUUUGGCAUAAAUUACCGUUUUGCUUGUUUGUAUGUGGAUUAAUGAUGCUGACUGAGGAAAAAGAGAAUGAAAGAUUAUGUAAAUGGGUAAUUGUAUAAAUGUGGUCAGCCUGACUUGAUAUCCUGGGAGAUGGUGGAUGGACCGGGUCCGUAGGAAACCCUACCAAGAUUGUGGUCUCCCAUACCGGACAGGGUAUGGAGAUCUUAUGUGUUUUGGCGCCCAUACCGGACGGUGACGGCCCGUUUCACCCUCAUACCGGACGGGAUAAUGAGGUUUAUAGUUUGGGCGCCCAUACCGGACGGGGUAUGGGGACGGUCCUGGAAUCUGAUUUCAAGUGUUAAGGGUUAACGGGUAGCGGGACCCCUAUGGAUCCCCAUGGAUACUAGUGGGCUGGUAAAUGAGGAAAAUAUGUUGUGUAACGAUUGAAUUACAAAAGGCUUGAUAAGUAUUAUGUUAUACAGUUUAUAUAUGAUUUCAUGAUGAUGAUAAUGUUAUUGCUUUCGUAUACUGUUUUAUGAAUUUUACCGAGGUAAGUGGAUGGUGAAGGAUUUAUUAUUGAUAAAAGAAUUUGUUGUAAAUUAUGCUCCAUUGGUCUUUUUGUGUUUUCUACCCACCUUUACCUCUGUGACGGUGAGAUAUCGUGAUGUCUUUACUGGGCUAGUGUAGCUCAUUCCUUAUUUAAUCAUUUCAGAUCAAGAAAACAUUGUUCCCGAGCCGGUUCCGCAGGAGGACGACGAAGGGGACGCCUAAAGACUCCAUAGUCAUAUUCAUAGCUUUUACUUUCAAGUUUCACCUUUAGGUAGUUUGAUCUUUUAUAUUUCGUGAGCACGUUUUUGGUUUUAGUGUAAGGGAUGUUAAUCGAAUUUUUGACUUCGCUUCCGCAUUUGAUAUUUUUAAUACACAU